rnacentral:lncRNA from 1 species
UCCUCAUCACCAUCAUAACAACACUCAUACUCCAACCCCUUUACAACCCAAAAACAAAAUAAUAAACCCUAGAGAUGAAGAGAUUCUCCCCCUUACCUCGAUUUCUUCUGAAAUUUCCAGCUUGGCUUGAUCCCGUCGUAACUAGGGUUUCUUCUCCUAUCCUCCUUUUUUUCUUUCUUUUUUCACGUUCAACAAAAGUGACUCUUCUAACUUCUAAUGUUUCUAUUUAUACUUGGGUCAAUCACAUGUUAUAAAUUUC